rnacentral:rRNA from 1 species
UACGUAGGGUGCGAGCGUUGUCCGGAAUUAUUGGGCGUAAAGGGCUCGUAGGCGGUCUGUUGCGUCGGGAGUGAAAACUCAGGGCUUAACCCUGAGCCUGCUUCCGAUACGGGCAGACUAGAGGUAUGCAGGGGAGAACGGAAUUCCUGGUGUAGCGGUGAAAUGCGCAGAUAUCAGGAGGAACACCGGUGGCGAAGGCGGUUCUCUGGGCAUUACCUGACGCUGAGGAGCGAAAGUGUGAGGAGCGAACAGG